GGCCCAAACUAAUUCUGAAGAACGUGAAGCCGCUUAGAAACUAAACACAGGCAAAGGUCCAACUACUCCUGCCUCAG